GAUGAACGCUAGCUACAGGCUUAACACAUGCAAGUCGAGGGGUAACGAGAGGAAAGCUUGCUUUCCUUGUCGACGACCGGCGCACGGGUGAGUAACGCGUAUCCAACCUGCCCCCAACUAGGGAAUAACCUUGCGAAAGUAAGACUAAUACCCUAUAAUUUCCUCAGAUGACAUCUGACGAGGAAUAAAGAUUUAUCGGUUGUGGAUGGGGAUGCGUCUGAUUAGCUUGUUGGCGGGGUAACGGCCCACCAAGGCAACGAUCAGUAGGGGUUCUGAGAGGAAGGUCCCACACAUUGGACCUGAGACACGGUCCAAACUCCUACGGGAGGCAGCAGUGAGGAAUAUUGGUCAAUGGGCGGAAGCCUGAACCAGCCAAGUAGCGUGCAGGAUGACGGCCCUAUGGGUUGUAAACUGCUUUUAUACAGGAAUAAAGUUAGCCACGUGUGGUUAUUUGUAGGUACUGUAUGAAUAAGGACCGGCUAAUUCCGUGCCAGCCGCCGCCGUAA
rnacentral:rRNA from 1 species